rnacentral:lncRNA from 1 species
UCGUGCCCCUCAAAUGGACGGUCCACUUCAAAAAGCUUCUCUCCUGGAGAGCAUCUUCUGCAGCGUGCCCUUAAGACAAGCUUCUUACUCAGGGCCACUAACUACACUCAAAGUGCUCUCUCUCUCUCUAGUUGAAGCACACGCCUCUCUUUCUCUUAUCGCGCCCCUCUCCGUGAACCUGAAGCACGCUAGCCCCCUCUGUGCCCUAUCUCUCUCUGCAACUGUCCCUUUCCCUGCAGCUUGCCCCCAAGACAAACUUCUUACUCAGGGCCACUAACUACACUCAAAACGGUCUCUCUCUCUCUCUCUCAUUGUGGCCCUCUCUGUGAAUCUGAAGCAUGCCCCUCUCUCUCUCUCUCUCUCAUCGGAAGCCUGCCCCUCUCUGUGAAAUCUGAAGCACGCCAUUUCAGGUAUGGAUGCUAUUUUACUUGUGCUUCUUAUGGAUGCCAUUUUACCAUGGCCAUUUUACAUUUUACUGAUGCUUCUUAUGGAUGCCAUUUUAUCAAGGCCAUUUUACAUUUUACUGAUGCUUUUUAUGAAUGCCAUUUUACCACGAUUUCUUAUGGAUGAGUGAUUUCAUUUUAGUGAUGCUUUCUUAUGGAUGAGUGAUGACAUUUUACUAAUGCUUGCUUAUGGAUGAGUGAUGUUUCCUUAUGAUCUGUACAUAUUAAUUGAUCACAUAAGUUUUUGCCACAUUUGGGGGUUUCGAUUUUUCAGUGGUUGAAUGUCUUACACAGGGCAACAAAACUACGAUCCUAGAACUUUCUUUAGAAAUUGGUAUCUCACAUAAUUUUUGGCCUCAUUUGGGGUUUCGGUUUUUCGGUGCUUGAAUGUCUUACACAUAGCAACAAAACUAUGAGCAUAAAAAUUUCUUUAGGAAUUGGUAUUUAACAUAAUUUUUUGCCACAUUUGGGGAUUUCGAUUUUUCAGUGCUUGAAUGUCUUAUACAUAACAACAAAACUAUGAUCAUAGAAAUUUCUUUAGAAAUUGGUAUCUCACUUAAUUUUUUGCCACAUUUGGGGGUUUCGAUUUUUAGUGCCUGAAUGUAUUACACAGAGCAACAAAACUAUGGUCAUAGAAAUUAUUUAGAAAUUGGUAUCUCACUUAAUUUUUUGCCACACUUGGGGCUUUCAAUUUUUCAGUGCUUGAAUUUCUUACACAUAGCAAUAAAACUAUGAUCAUAGAAAUUUCUUUAGAAAUUGAUAUCUCACUUAAUUUUUUGCCACAUUUGGGGGUCUUGGUUUUUUCAGUGAUUGAAUGUGUUACACAGAGCAACAAGCCUAUGAGCAUAGAAAGCCUAUAAAAAUUGGCAUCUCACAUAAUUUUUUGCCACAAUUGGGGAUAUUGGUUUUUCAGUGAUUGAAUGUAUUACACAGAGCAACAAAACUAUGAGCAUAGAAAUUCUGUAGAAAUUGGUAUCCCACAUAAUUUUUUGCCAUAGUUGGGGGUCUUGGUUUUUCAGUGAUUGAAUGUGUUAUACAGAGCAACAGAACUAUGAUUAUAGAUCUGUUUUUUUGGGUUUUUUGGAUGAGUGAUGCUAGAUAGAUCUGUUUUUUUGGAUGAGUGAUGCUAGCUUAAGGACUUUGUUUCGGUUUUUCUUUUAUGGCACGAGCCUUGACAAACUAGAUUUGGGGGUCUGUGUAACACAAUCAGUCUGUCAAUAAUGAGGCUUGUUUUGGAUGAAUUAUGCUUAGUUUGGGGAUUUGUAAAAUUGUAUGUUUUGGGCCUGAUUUUGUUCUUAGAUGAAUGAUGCUUAGUUUGUGGUCUGCAAAAUUGUAUGAGCUCAAAACCAUUUUACAAAAUGAAUCAGGCUUUGUUUGGGGUUUUUUGAUGGUACGAGCCUUGACAAAGUUGAUUUGGGGGUCUGUCAAAAUGAAUCAGUCUGUAAAAAAUUAGGGGUUUUUUGGAUGAAUCAUGCUUAGUUUUGGGGUAUGUAAAUUGUAUUUCUGCAGGUUGUGGUAUUUUUUUGUUUUUCAUGGAUAUAUUUAGAUACAUUGGAGUUAAUCUCCAUGUCAAGUACUCACAAGAAAAGCUCUUUGUGUGAGUUUUUUUUUUUUUUUCUAUUGGUUACUUUAGUAUUUGAUUGUGCUAUAUAAGAGAAAUUCAUUUCCGUUGGAUGCUGGUUUAGACCUUUGAAGUACAUAGCAUGUCAUCAGUUUCCACAAGUGACGGAGGAUAUCAAUGGCGAACUUGUCCACAAUGCAAUUUACAAUGCAAAUUAAGUAAAUCAAGCUCUCGAUCUAACCUUGGAAGAAUGUACUAUUGGUGUGCAAGUUGUACACUUUUUCAAUAAUACGAUGCAUAUAUUGAAGGGAUGAAUUACAAUAUAAACUUGAGGUGUCGUGAUAUACACCAGAACAAUCAGUCAGAAGAAUCGCAAGAGGGUAUUAUGGUCAAGCUUGAACCGAUGGUCAUUCAACAACAAAUUAUUGAUACUUUAGGGCAGUGGUUUAAAAAGCGGAUCGGUGACCUGAAUCGGGCACCUCAAAAACCGAUUCGGAUCGGGGAAUCGGCUGAAUCGGUCAAAUUAAAGCUUCAAAAAAAUCCGAAAAAAUUAUUAAAAUUCAUUAGAAAUGUUGUUUUUUAGGAAUCAGUAUGAAAUGAGGGUACUACAUUAUUAACUUUCAUUUUUUUCAUCAAUUUGUGAAUAUUGAGAUGCUCUUUCCCUGUAUAAAUUAAGUAUUAAAUUUGCAUCACAUAAAAGAAAAAUCAUAGAAUUAUCAUGGAUAAAAUAUAUAAUUAUACAUGAACUAUAAUAAAAAGUAGACUAAAUCAAUGAAAGAAUGGCCAUUAAAAUCUCAUUUUGGCGAAAAACCCUAAUCUGCUAAAAAAACCUAAAUUAUUACAGCCUAACUAACUAUAAUCCAAAAUCAUUACAACCUAACUAAUUAUAAUAUUAUAUAUUGAAAUUAUAAUUAUUAGUUUACAUUUUAUAAUUAUUUUAUUAGAUAAAUAAUAACAAAUUAAAAAUAUUUUAUAAUAUUAUUUAAUUUAAAAUGUAUUAUUGACAACUGUAAGAAAAAUAGUACAUUACAUGAUUUAUAAUGUAAAAAUUCAUAAAUAAAAUAAAUUAUUUGGUUAUCAAUGUAAAAAUUAAUAAAAUGCGUACAAAUUUUGAAAAUAACACGUUAAUUUAUUAUAUUCCCAAGGGGGAACAAAAAUUAGCUCAAGAAGGGAUAAACUAUUAUAUUGCUCAAGGGGGGAUUCAAACUUGAGAAGUCAAAACAAAUAACAUUAAUGAUAACCAUCAUGCCUCUUUAGCA